rnacentral:rRNA from 1 species
CACGUAGGGCGCAAGUGUUGUCCGGAAUUAUUGGGCGUAAAGAGCUCGUAGGCGGUCUGUUGCGUCCGCUGUGAAAACUCGGGGCUUAACCCCGAGCCUGCAGUGGAUACGGGCAGACUAGAGGUAGGUAGGGGAGAAUGGAAUUCCCGGUGUAGCGGUGAAAUGCGCAGAUAUCGGGAGGAACACCGGUGGCGAAGGCGGGUCUCUGGACAGUUCCUGACACUGAGGCACGAAGGCCAGGGGAGCAAACGGG